UUUUUUUCUUUUUUUUUUUUUUUGUUGUUGUUGUUAUUGUUGAGUUUGAUGAGUUGUUGGUAUAUUUUGGAGAUUAAGCUCUGCCAGUUGCAUUGUUUGCAACCAUUUUUUCCCAUUCCAUAGGUUGCCUUUGAUUUUUUUAUGGUUUUAUUUGCUGUGCAAAGUCUUGUAAGUUUGAUUAGGGCCCAUUGGUUUAUUUUUGUUUUUAUUUCUAUUGCCUUUGGAGACUGACAAGAAAACAUUUGUACGGUUGAUGUCAGAGAAUGUUUUAUCAAUGUUCUCCUCUAGGAGUUUUAGGGCGACUUGUUUUAUGUUUAAGUUUUUAAGCCAUUUUAAAUUUAUUUUUGUGCAUGUUCUGAGUAUGUGUUCUAGUUUCAUUGAUUUACAUGCAGCUGUCCAGUUUUGCCAGAACCACUUGCUGAAGAGACUGCCUUUUUUUCCUCUUUUAUAUUCUUGCCUCCUGUGUCAAAGAUUAAUUGACCAUAGGUGUCUGGGUUUAUUUCUGGGUUCUCCUUCUUUUCCAUUGGUCUGUAUGUCUGUUUUGUACCAGUACCACACUGUCUUGAUUACUCUAGCUUUGUAAUAUUUUCUGAAGUCUAAGACAGCUGUGCCUCCUGCUUGUCUCCCCCAACCCCCUACUGCCCCCCCCCAGGAUUGCUUUGGCAUUUCUGUGUCCUUUAUGGUUCCAUAUAAAUUUUUGGAUUUUUGGAUCUAGUUCUGUGAAAAAUUUUAUGGGUAAUUUGAUAGGGAUUUCAUUAAAUCUCUAGAUUGCUUUGGGAAGUAUGGCCAUUUUAACAAUGUUAAAUUCCUCCAAUCCAGGAUCAUGAGAUAUCUUUCCAUUUCUUUGAAUCCUCUUUAAUUUCAUAGAUUAAUAAGUUAUAUGUCUCAGCAUAUAAGUCUUUCACCUGCUUGGCCAUGUUUAUCCCUAGGUAUUUAAUUUUUUGUGGUGACAUUUAAAAGAUACUUUCAUAUUCCUUUUCUAAAAUCUUAUUGUUAGUAUACAGAAAUGCAACUGUUUUCUGGAUAUUAAUCCUGAAUCCUGCUAUUUUGCUGAAUUCAUUGAUAAGUUUGAGUAGUUUUUGUGUGGAGUCCUUUGGGUUUUCUAUAUAUAGUAUCAUGUUAUCUGCAUAGAUUGACAAUUUUACUUCCUCUCUUCCAAUUUACCUUUUAUUUCUUUUGUUUGUUUGAUUUCUGUGGCUAGAACUUCCAAUACAAUGUUGAAGAAAAUUUGGGAGAGUGGACAUCCUUGCCUUGUUCCAGAUUCUUUCAGCUUUUCUCCCUUGAUUAUUACAUUGGCUGUAGGUUCGUCGUAAAUGUCUUUUAUUAUGUUAAGAUGUGUUCCCUCUAUACCCCUUUGGUAAGAGUUUUGAUCAUGAAUGGAUGAUGGAUGUUGGAUUUUUUGUCAAAUGCUUUUUCUGCGUCUAUUGAGAUGAUCAUGUGGUUUUUGACUUUUAUUAAUAUGGGGUAUGAUGUUGAUUGAUUUGUGUAUGUCAAACCAUCCCUAUGAACUUGGGGUGAAUCCCACUUGGUCAUGGUGUAUGACCUUUUUUAUGUGUUUUUCAAUUCGGUUGGCUAAAAAGUUAAUUGAGAAUUUUUGUGUCUAUAUUCAUCGAAAAUGUUGGAAUAUAAUUUUCUUUUAUGUAAUAUCUUUGUGUGGUUUUGGUAUUAGUAUGGUGGUGGCUUCAUAAAAUAUCUUUGGGAGUGUUCCUUCCUCUUUAACCUUUUGGAAAAGUUUAAGAAAGAUGGGUGUAAGUUCUUUGUGUGUUUGGUAGAAUUCGCCUGUGAGGCCAUCUGGCCCUAGACUUUUGUUUGUAAGGGGUAUUUUUAUUAUACAUUCAAUUUCAUUUCUAGCAAUGUAUCAGUUUAAAUGAUCUAUUUCUCUUUGAUUCAGUUUCAGUGGGCUGUAUGUCUCUAGAAAGUUUUCCAUUUGUUCUAGGUUGUCAAAUUUGUUGGCAUAUAGUUUUUCAUGGUAUUCUUUUAUGGUUUUUAUAUUUCUGUAGUAUAUAUUGCAAUUUCUCCUUUUUCAUUUCUUAUUUUGUUUAUUUGGGUUCUCUGUCUCUCAUAUUCUUAGUGAGUUUGGACAGAGGUUUGUCCAUUAUGUUUACUCUUUCGAAGAACCAGCUUUUGGUUUUAUUGAUUUUUUUUCUAUUUUUAAUCUCUAUUUUACUGAUUUCCUCUCAUGUUUAUGAUUUCCUUCCUUCUGCUGACUUAAAUUUUGUUUAUUCUUCUUUUUCUAAUUCUUUUUGGUGGUAUACCAAGUUAUUGCAUUGAGAUUGUUGUUCUUUUUUGAGGAAGGCCUGUAUCUCUAUGAACUUUCCUCUAAGAACUGCUUUUGCAGCAUCCCAUAGAUUUUGAGUGGUUGUGUAUUCAUUGUCAUUUGUCUCAAGUAUUUUUUAAUUUUCCUUUUGAUUUCCUUGUUGACCCAUUGGUUUUUUAGUAGCAUGUUUUUUAGUCUCCAAGUAAUUAGUUUUUUCUCAUUUAUUUUCCUGUGGUUAAUUUCUAGUUUCAUGCCAUUGUGGUCAGAAAAAAUAUGCUUGAAAUAAUUUCUAUAUUCUUAAAUUUGUUGAGUUAUUUUUGGUCCCCCGAAUGUGAUCAGUCCUUGAGAAUGUUCCAUGUGCACUUGAAAAGAAAGUAUAUCCUGAUUUUUUAAAUGUAAUGUCCUUAAAAUAUCAAUGAAGUCUAACUUUUCUAUUGUAUCAUUUAGGAUCUUUGUUGCUCUAUUGGUUUUCUGUCCAUGGAUGUGAGUGGAGUGUUAAAAAUUUCCUGCUAUUAUUUUAUUCCCAUCAAUUUCUCCACUUAUGUCUGUUA
rnacentral:lncRNA from 1 species